rnacentral:rRNA from 1 species
UACGGAGGGUGCAAGCGUUAUCCGGAUUCACUGGGUUUAAAGGGUGCGUAGGUGGGCAAGUAAGUCAGUGGUGAAAUCUCCGGGCUUAACCCGGAAACUGCCGUUGAUACUAUCUGUCUUGAAUAUCGUGGAGGUAAGCGGAAUAUGUCAUGUAGCGGUGAAAUGCUUAGAUAUGACAUAGAACACCCAUUGCGAAGGCAGCUUACUACACGAUCAUUGACGCUGAGGCACGAAAGCGUGGGGAGCAAACAGG